rnacentral:rRNA from 1 species
AGUGAACGCUGGCGGUAGGCCUAACACAUGCAAGUCGAACGGCAGCACAGUAAGAGCUUGCUCUUACGGGUGGCGAGUGGCGGACGGGUGAGGAAUACAUCGGAAUCUACUUUUUCGUGGGGGAUAACGUAGGGAAACUUACGCUAAUACCGCAUACGACCUACGGGUGAAAGCAGGGGAUCUUCGCACCUUGCGCGAUUGAUUGAGCCGAUGUCGGAUUAGCUAGUUGGCGGGGUAAAGGCCCACCAAGGCGACGAUCCGUAGCUGGUCUGAGAGGAUGAUCAGCCACACUGGAACUGAGACACGGUCCAGACUCCUACGGGAGGCAGCAGUGGGGAAUAUUGGACAAUGGGCGCAAGCCUGAUCCAGCCAUACCGCGUGGGUGAAGAAGGCCUUCGGGUUGUAAAGCCCUUUUGUUGGGAAAGAAAAGCAGCAGGUUAAUACCCCGCUGUUCUGACGGUACCCAAAGAAUAAGCACCGGCUAACUUCGUG